AGGAAAGGAGCCACGGGUGUUGAAGAAGGCUUGAUUUCAGGCACAGACAGCUCAGGCUUGCUCCUGGCAGGAUGAAGCAGAUCCCAGAUGUGCUUUGGGGGCAUGUGGCUCGAGGUAGCUCCUGCUCUCCCACCAACAAGAGGCCCUGCUGACCCGAUCCUUUGUGACUGCCUGGACACAGUACUAUUACCCGCGCUGGGACUUUGCUUGCUCUCAAUAUACCCUCAGGAGUAUCUGCAGAUCUACAUAAAUAUAUUUAUCCGGUGCUAGGCUGUGCCAUAUCGAGCAUGACUUUCAUCCUCUGGAUCUACAGACAUCAAGAGAGAUAGGAGGAUCCCCUUCCACGUCUGCAGCUUAUGGGGUUUUCAGGGAGGAAGGAAGAAACAAGAAUGAGAAGACUAUUUCUGCAGAACAUCGAGAUAUUUCAUGAAUCACAUGCUCUUACUGAGGAAGAAGAGACAGCGAAAAGGAAGCAAUGAUGAAGAACUCAAGCAUGUGUUCCUUCAGACAUCUUUACAACUAAACAUCACUUAUUUAUCACUUCAUAAGGUUUGUGCUUUGGAUUGCAUGCCACUUCGAGAAAAUGGACAGUUAAUUAUUAGCACAUGUACUGAUUACUGAGAACAGCAAAA
rnacentral:lncRNA from 1 species